rnacentral:tRNA from 1 species
GGGGUUAUGGCUCGGUGGCAGAGUGCUUGCCUAGCAUGUGUGAGGCACUGGGUUCGAUCCUCAGCACCCCCA